rnacentral:rRNA from 1 species
AUUGAACGCUGGCGGCAGGCCUAACACAUGCAAGUCGAACGAGUGGCGGACGGGUGAGUAAUGUCUGGGCAACUGCCCGACGGAGGGGGAUAACUACUGGAAACGGUAGCUAAUACCGCAUACCAUCGGAUGUGCCCACAUGGGAUUAGCUAGUUGGUGGGGUAACGGCUCACCUAGGCGACGAUCCCUAGCUGGUCUUAGAGGAUGACCAGUCACACUGGAACUUAUACACGGGCCAGACUCCUACGGGAGGAAGCAGUGGGGAAUAGUGCACAAUGGGCGCAAGCCUGAUGCAGCCAUGCCGAGUGUAUGAAGAAGGCCUUCGGGUUGUAAAGUACUUUCAUCGGGGAGGCGUUACUCGCAGAAGAAGCACCGGCUAACUCCGUGCCAGCAGCCGCGGUAAUAC